rnacentral:rRNA from 1 species
CCAGACUCCUACGGGAGGCAGCAGUGGGGACUCUUUUGCAAUGGGCUCCCGCCUGACCCCGCCCCGCCGCGUGCCGUCCGAAGGCUUUCGUGUUGUAAACUUCUUUUGACAGGGCAGCGCCGAAGACGGUCCCUGUCGAAUAAGCCACGGCUAACUACGUGCCAGCAGCCGCGGUAAUACGUAGGUGGCAAGCGUUGUCCGGAUUUACUGGGUGUAAAGGGCGUGUAGCCGGGCUUACAAGUCAGAUGUGAAAUCCGGGGGCUCAACCCCCGAACUGCAUUUGAAACUUUAGGUCUUGAGUAUCGGAGAGGCAGGCGGAAUUCCUAGUGUAGCGGUGAAAUGCGUAGAUAUUAGGAGGAACACCAGUGGCGAAGGCGGCCUGCUGGACGACAACUGACGGUGAGGCGCGAAAGCGUGGGGAGCAAACAGGAUUAGAUACCCGGGUA